GCUUACGGCCAAACCAGCCUGAA
rnacentral:rRNA from 1 species